AUUGAACGCUGGCGGCAUGCCUUACACAUGCAAGUCGAACGGCAGCGCGGACUUCGGUCUGGCGGCGAGUGGCGAACGGGUGAGUAAUGUAUCGGAACGUGCCCUAGAGUGGGGGAUAACGUAGCGAAAGUUACGCUAAUACCGCAUACGAUCUAUGGAUGAAAGUGGGGGACCGUAAGGCCUCACGCUCAUGGAGCGGCCGAUAUCUGAUUAGCUAGUUGGUAGGGUAAAAGCCUACCAAGGCGACGAUCAGUAGCUGGUCUGAGAGGACGACCAGCCACACUGGGACUGAGACACGGCCCAGACUCCUACGGGAGGCAGCAGUGGGGAAUUUUGGACAAUGGGGGAAACCCUGAUCCAGCAAUGCCGCGUGUGUGAAGAAGGCCUUCGGGUUGUAAAGCACUUUUGUCAGGAACGAAACGGUGGGGGCUAAUAUCCUCUGCUAAUGACGGUACCUGAAGAAUAAGCACCGGCUAACUACGUGCCAGCAGCCGCGGUAAUACGUAGGGUGCGAGCGUUAAUCGGAAUUACUGGGCGUAAAGCGUGCGCAGGCGGUUGUGCAAGACAGAUGUGAAAUCCCCGGGCUUAACCUGGGAAUUGCAUUUGUGACUGCACGGCUAGAGUGUGUCAGAGGGGGGUAGAAUUCCACGUGUAGCAGUGAAAUGCGUAGAUAUGUGGAGGAAUACCGAUGGCGAAGGCAGCCCCCUGGGAUAACACUGACG
rnacentral:rRNA from 1 species